CGGUAAUACGGAAGGUUCGGGCGUUAUCCGGAUUUAUUGGGUUUAAAGGGAGCGUAGGCCGGAGAUUAAGUGUGUUGUGAAAUGUAGACGCUCAACGUCUGACUUGCAGCGCAUACUGGUUUCCUUGAGUACGCACAACGUUGGCGGAAUUCGUCGUGUAGCGGUGAAAUGCUUAGAUAUGACGAAGAACCCCGAUUGCGAAGGCAGCUGACGGGAGCGCAACUGACGCUGAAGCUCGAAGGUGCGGGUAUCGAACAGGAUUAGAUACCCUGGUAGUCCGCACAGUAAACGAUGGAUGCCCGCUGUUGGUACCUGGUAUCAGCGGCUAAGCGAAAGCAUUAAGCAUCCCACCUGGGGAGUACGCCGGCAACGGUGAAACUCAAAGGAAUUGACGGGGGCCCGCACAAGCGGAGGAACAUGUGGUUUAAUUCGAUGAUACGCGAGGAACCUUACCCGGGCUUGAA
rnacentral:rRNA from 1 species